AAAUGCGAUCGGACGAUCAGAUUUAAACGCGAUCAAUGGUAUAGAUUUAUUUACUAUUUAAACAUGAUCGGACGGUCCAGAUUUAAUCCCUAUUUAAUCGCGAUCGGACAGUUCAUAUUAAACGCGAUGGACGGUCCAGAUUAAAAGGAGAAUGAUAUAAAUAAUUUUCUUCACACCAAACCCUAACCCUAGCCCUCAGACACCCUCACCAGAGAAGAAGACCCAACUGCCGAGAAUGAGAGCCAUCGCCGAGUCGGAGCCACUUCUGAUCGCCAAA
rnacentral:lncRNA from 1 species